rnacentral:rRNA from 1 species
CUGGCGGCGUGCCUAAUACAUGCAAGUCGAACGGUCUUUCUAUGGAAGCUUGCUUCCACUGAGAAGAUAGUGGCGAACGGGUGAGUAACACGUGGGGUAACCUGCCCAUAAGAGGGGGGAGUAACAUCCGGAAACGGGUGCUAAUACCGCAUAGUUUUCUUGAUCGCAUGAUCGGGAAAGGAAAGACGGCCUUUGUGCUGUCGCUUAUGGAUGGACCCGCGGCGUAUUAGUUAGUUGGUGAGGUAACGGCUCACCAAGACGAUGAUACGUAGCUGACCUGAGAGGGUGAUCGGCCACAUUGGGACUGAGACACGGCCCAAACUCCUACGGGAGGCAGCAGUAGGGAAUCUUCCGCAAUGGACGAAAGUCUGACGGAGCAACGCCGCGUGAGUGAAAGAAGGUUUUCGGAUCGUAAAACUCUGUUGUCAGAGAAGAACAAGUUGGAGAGUAACUGCUCCAGCCUUGACGGUAUCUGACCAGAAAGCCACGGCUAACUACGUGCCAGCCGCCGC